AUACCCUGGUUUCUCUUCAGAUUGUACCGGUCUUUGGCCUUCUACUGAAGAUUUCCAUGGAGAGGAACAGUUCUGCGUGCUUAUCCAGUGUUUUGAGGACUUGCUUUUUACAGAGCU
ensembl:snRNA U5 U5 spliceosomal RNA